CUAUAGUCUAUACAUGGCCUCAAAUCACCCUCUUUCUUGGCAACAAAAAAGAAACCAGCCCCAGCCGGAGAGGAGGACCUUCUGAUAAAAUCUUUACGUAAGGAUUCCUGUAUGUACUCCUCCAUGACCUGGUUUUCUUUCUCAGAAAGCGGGUAGACCUUACCCCUAGGAGGCAUCGUUCCAGGUAACAGGUUUAUGGCACAAUCAUAAUCCCGGUGUGGGGGUAGUUUAUCAGCUUCCCUCUUUUCAAAGACCAAUGCGAGGUCUGCAUACACAGGAGGGACAGAAACAGAAAGUGGUAUAGCUGUAGGCACAUUAAGUAAACAAAUGGGAUGUAAACGG